GGUUCCGUAGUGUAGUGAGCAUCAAUACCUGCUUCACACGCGAAAGGCCCCCGGUUCGAUCCCGGACGGAACCA